rnacentral:rRNA from 2 species
CACACGACUCUCGGCAACGGAUAUCUCGGCUCUCGCAUCGAUGAAGAACGUAGCGAAAUGCGAUACCUGGUGUGAAUUGCAGAAUCCCGUGAACCAUCGAGUCUUUGAACGCAAGUUGCGCCCGAAGCCACCCGGCUGAGGGCACGCCUGCCUGGGCGUCACGC